GCCCAGACGGGGCCCGAGGGAACUGCGGGUCUGGGGCCCGCAGCCUGAAGGGAGAGGUUAAGGAUGGAAGGCAGCAGCUGCCAGACCCCAGGAAACCGCGUCUCCAACCCCCUCGCGCCCCCCGCCCCCCGUUCCCCGGGGACUCGGCUACAGCAAGCGGGACAAGGGUCAGCUGGCUGCGGACUGAUUGUUCUGUCCUGGGCUGCUCAGGAGUCUUCCAGACCCACUUGAGAUGUGUAUCUGCUCUGGGCAUCCCGGGGCAAACUCCCACUUUCGAAGCCACUUCCGCUGGUCUUUCUUCCAGGAGGGAAGAAUCAGGUGCGUUUCUGCCAGGGAGAGAGCAGUGGGAGUGGGGGGUCCCGAGAGCCAGGGGCAUUUGGAAGGUCCCAGACUUUGGAUGUUACGUCUAGAAUUAAUGACUGCGCCCCCCACCCCCGCCCCAGCUCUCUUCAUUUUCUCAUCCUAAAACGGCGGCGGUGGGGCUGGGGAUCCUGCCGGGGGCGCCUGGCGCGCACAUCAGUAUUAGUCGCUCAGUCGUGUCUGACUCUGUGACCCCAUGGACUGUAGCCCGCCAGGCCUCUCUGUCCAUGGGAUUCCCAGGCAAGAAUACGGGAGUGGGUUGCCAUGCCCUCCUCCAGGGGAUCUUCCCAACCCAGGGAUGGAACCCGGGUCUCCAGCAUUGCCGACAGAUUCUUGACUGUCUGCGCCACCAGGGAAGCACAUGGCAUUCAUCAGAUGUUGGCCCAUCUCCUGAUGUUUGGGAGACCAGCAGGCCACGUGCUGGUCUCCUCCUGACGUUUGAGGAAAUGGCAGUUCCGAGAGGCUGUCGUCUGCCACACAGCGGGGAAGUGGCGGAGGCAGAAACCGACCUUGGGAGAGCCUGGCAGGAAGGCCUGCACACCCGGGUACCCCAGCGCUCCAGGAGACACACCGCAUCCAGCGCGGAGACUGGCGUGCCGCGGCUCCCCCUAGUGGCCACAUCUGGGGAGCAGCCCGUUUCUCAACCGACGGGCUUGGUGCCUGCAAACCUCAGCAACGUCUCCAGGGCACUAGACGUGAACAGUCAGGACGACACCCCCGCCCCCAACCUUAUUGAGGGCGUCAGCGGAGGCUUCUGGGAGGAGGCGACUUUUUUUUUUGCUGAGACUGCGAAGUGAGCUGGAGUUAACCAGAUAAGAAAACCAAGACACAGAGAUGGAAGAUGAAUCCAGGCAGUUUGGUUCCAGUGCCUAGAAGUCUUGCCUCUGAGAUGUGGAAAUCCUCGCCUCAUUUUACAAUCACAUGUACUCUUCUCUUUGAACCCGAUCCUCCCAAGCUUUGAAGCUUUGGAAUUGGACCCAUCAGUGGCUGCAGGAAGGGACGUUUCCCGUGUCAGCCUCUGAGAGAUAACUGCACACAUAUGAGAAGCUUACAAGGUGGUCCUCAAAUUUGCUUCCUCAGAGGAUACUUCUCAUCUAAAAACUCAGCCUGGGGCUUCUCUGGUGGCUCAGUGGUAAAGAGUCUGCCUGCCAAUGCAGAAGUCAUGGGUUUGAUCCCUUCCCAUGUGGGAAGAUCCCACAUGCCUUGGGACAACUAAGCCAGUGGGCCACAACUAUUGUUCCCAGGAGCCACAACUUCUGAGCCCAUGUGCAGCAAUCACUGAAGCCCAUUCACCCUACAGCCUGUGCUCUACAACAAGAGAAGCGCCUUCAGUGAGAAUCCUGGGCACUGCAACAAAGAGUAGCUCCCGCUCACUGCAACUACAGAAAAGCCCACACAGCAAUGAAGACCCAGCACAGCCAAAAAUAAAUAAAUAAAUAAAUAAAUAAAUAAAAUUAUUUAAAAAAAAAAACAAACACAACUUCAGCCUGGUUCUCUGGCUUCACUUGGGUUAUAUCCUCCUGGCCAUUUGUUAAAAUAUGACAGAUCCCACUUCUGACACCUCUUAAAGAGAGCUGCCUAGUCCAUCCCUGCUCAUGCUCCUUUCCACAAGGAGGUGCCAUGGUCUGUAAGAAAUGAGUCCUGGGUCUCAUUUAACUCUGGGAGACUUUAACUCCAGCACUGAGUUGCAACACAUUCCCCCUCUCCAGGCCUUGUCUGUAAGAUGGGCCUUGCCUACAUAUGGCUGAGAGGUGUAUGACGACAGAGUCAAUACGAAAGGGCUUGCACAAACACCUUGUUAUGGAAUAAUAAAGGCCACAACUACCUCCAGACCAUGCAUCAGACCCAGCUCUUUACACGUAUUAACUGAGUUACAUGUAGUCAAUUAUUUAUCCCUUUGCCAGGAGGGCCCAGAAAAUGUUCCUUGGAAACAUAAAAGGAAAAGUCUAUUCAACAUACAACCAGCAGUGGUCCGUGCUUGAUAAUCUGGCACUUCCUUCACCUCCCUACCUCAUUAUAAAAUUUGGAUUCAUAAAAAAAACCUCGACUCAAAUCCUAGCUCCAUCAUGUUCUCUAAACUGUGACUUUGGCAUUCUUCCUAUGCCUCAGUCCCUCCCCCUGCAAAUGUGUGGCUGUUAGGAUUGUCAGGAGUUUAACUGAGAUGAUAGGUAUGGCAUGCUGGACCUGUAGUGAGCAUUCAGUAAGUGUCUGCCAUCACUGUCCCAGUUAGGACACCCGGGACAUGGCAGAGGCUCAAGUGGCUUCUGAAUUCUUUAGGAAUUCACUAGAGGGAGCCAAGUUGGGUAGAGUGGGGUGGCAAGAGUGGGUUAAAUAUAAUUGGAUCAAGGGGCUUCCCUGGUGGUAGAGUGGUUGAGAAUCUGCCUGCCAAUGCAGGAGACAUGGAUUUGAUUUCUGGUCCAGAAAGAUCCCACACGCCAUGUGGCAGCUAAGCCCGUGAGCAACAACUACUGAGCCACCAUUCUAGAGCCUGGGAACCACAGCUACUGAAGCCUAUGUGCCUAGAGCCUGUGCUCUGCAACAAGAGAAGCCACCAGAACGAGAAGCUCACACACUGCAACGAAGAGUAGCCCCCGCUUUCUGCAACUAAAGCUUGUGUGCAGCAAUGAAGAUCCAGCAUGGCCAAAAAUAACUAAAUAAGUAAAUAAAAUAAAUCUUU